rnacentral:rRNA from 1 species
UACAGAGGGUGCAAGCGUUGUUCGGAAUUAUUGGGCGUAAAGGGCGCGUAGGCGGCGCGACAAGUCACCUGUGAAAUCUCCGAGCUUAACUCGGAGCCUGCAGGCGAAACUGUCGUGCUGGAGUAUGGGAGAGGUGCGUGGAAUUCCCGGUGUAGCGGUGAAAUGCGCAGAUAUCAGGAGGAACACCGAUUGCGAAGGCAGCUCGCUGGGACGUAACUGACGCUGAGACGCGAAAGCGUGGGGAGCGAACAGG